CAGAAGAGCGGCAACACAAGUAUGACAACAACCAGCCCCCAGACAGAUUAUCGCAUGCUGUUGUCAAGAUCACGCACAAGUUCAUGGGUU